UAUAUAUAUACGUGUGCAUAUAUAUGUAUAUAUGUAUGUGUGCAUAUAUGCCCACACCCUCUUCUCAGUGCCCCUAAGUCCUGUUUACUCUUCACUCCUCUCCGUUAAGCUUUUUUUUUUUUUUUUUUUUUUUUUCUGAGACAGAGUGUUGCUCUGUCACCCAAGCGGGAGUGCAGUGGUGCAAUCUCGGUUCACUGCAACCUCCGCCUCCCAAGUUCAAGCAAUUCUCUGCCUCAGCCUCCUGAGUAGCUGGGAUUGUUACAGGCCCCUGCCACCAUGCCCAGCUAAUUUUUUUGUAUUUUUAGUAGAGAUGGGGUUUCACCAUUUGGCUAGGCUGGUCUUGAACUCCUGACCUCAUGAUCCACCCGCCUCAGCCUCCCAAAGUGCUGGGAUUACAGGCAUGAGCCACUGUGCCCGGCCUUUGUUAAGCUUUUCUUAUCAGAGGUUAACACCAUCUCAGUUUCCUAGAAAACCAUACAUACAUACAUAUAUAGACACAUAUGUACACACACACACACACACACAUAUAUAUAGUUGUUCCUCAGUAUCUGUGGGGAUUGGUUCCAGAGCCCCCAAGGAUACCAAACUCCAAGGAUGCUCAAGCCCUUGUACAAAAUGGUGUCACAUUUGUAUAUAUCCUAGACAUAGCCUCCUGAAUACUUUAUAUCAUCUCUAGAUUGCUUAUAAUACCUAAUACAAUGUAAAUGCUAUGGUAAUAGUUGUUACACUGUAUUUUUUAUUUGUAUUGUUUUUAUUGUUGUAUUGUUAUUUUUAUUGUUUUUUCCCAUAUAAUUUUUGAUCUAGGGAUAUGGAGGGCUAUGUAUUUUUUUCAACUCUAACCUAUCAUGGCAAAUCUUGGAAAUGAAAAACUUUAUUUCCCUUACCGUCUGUAGACCUCCUCCCCCACAGCUCUUUUCUCAUCCUUAAUCCCCCCUCCACCCCCACCUUCUGUCAGUUAGGGAACACGGGCUUUUAUGCAGAUAUACCCAUGUUUCUCAGGCCAAAGUAGGGCCACAAUCAUCAGGACAAAUGGGAGUUUCAGGAUGUUUCUCGGUCACCCAACCCCAGGGAGAGAGAGGGGCCUUCCAGGGGCCUCAGAUUCCCUCCCCAUCCCCCCCUCACAUCUCUAGAAGACUUAAGGGGAGUGCUCAGGUCAGAAUAAUGGGGUAGGUUUGCCCCCUCAUGCCCCACUCCGUCCAGUUCCUCAGCGAUUUUUUUCCUCCAAAAUAGAUCUUGACUGCAUCCAUUGUUCUCCAUCUUUAGUCCUGCCACUCAUCAUCUCUUGCCUGGACCACUCUAACAGGUUCCUGUCUCUCAGCUGCUUUUUCCACGUUUGCCCUCUUCUGAUCCACUCAGAAUAAGGAAGCCAUGGUGAUGUUUCCAAAAAGCAGAUCUGACCAGUGAACACUCAUUUGUAAAAGCCAGUCCACUGGCUCCCCGAUGCCCUCAGGAUAAACCAGAAUCCUGACAUGGCCCACAGCACCAUCCACGACCUGGACUCCACUGGCAUUUCCAGGCUUCCCACUGUACUGUCUGGCCUCCCACCAUAGUGUCUUGCUGAGUCAGCCAGUGCUCAGUGUCACUGAUGCUAUGCCUCACUACCCUUGCCCAAGUCACCCAGAUCAGUGUUGAUCAAAAGAUGCACCUCACUCUCCUAAGUUGCCCUCGAGGAUUUUAGCAAACUGGCUCUUUUCAUUCUAGGGCCACUGCCAGCCCAUCCAAUGCCCUUAUGAUAAUAGAAAAAGCUGCCCCUUCCUCAGGUAGAUACCGCCCAUGUUGGAGGGGACCAUAGGCUGGAUUUCAGCCCUCCCCAUGCUCCUGCCAGGCACCCUUGUGUGUGGCACCACCUGCCCAGCCAAACAUGGCAGCCUCAUGCUGUUCUCACCGUUUGGUUGCAAACCUCUCACUGUGGGUUCUAGCAGGUGUUGGCCAACAAGGGCCGAGCCCAAGGACAGUCCCGGAGCCAAGAAUGGGGCUGUGCUCAGGCCAUCCCAGAUGUUCCCACAGCACAUGGCCAUGGGCACUGUGGAACAUGAUCUUUGGGGGACAAAAUGUCUUUUAAGGUAAAAUGUAAGUGAACGUCACUCUGCCACAGGUUAAGCUACUCUGUGAGGGUUUGUCUUCUAGUUGUGCCACUCUUUUGCUCAAGAAUCUUCUCUGUCUUCCUCAGCCUGGCCACUCACUGGCCCUCAACAGGCCAUGUGUUCCUCCUGUGCUCCCAGUGGCCCAUACCCUCUUCUCAUCCCACUAAGUCCUCUUUACUCUUCACUCCUCUCUGUUAAGCUUUUCCUAGCAGAGGUUGAUGCCAUCUCAGUUUCCUAGAAACCUGUGCCAUUUAACUUCCUUCACAUCUCCCCAUUUCCACAGUCAGGCUGUAGGCGGCAUCCAAAGCUUUAUCUGGGAAAGGGAGUCUCCCCGGGUCUUCUCCCCAUCACUGGCUCCUCUAAGUCUGACAGUCAGUUCCCACAGAAAUAUCACCAAACCCAGCACUCUCAGCAGUCCAAGUCCUUGCUCUCAGAACUUGGGAGAUGUGAUGGGCUUUACCCUCAGACAAGUCUGGAUUUAAAUUCUAGUCCCUCAUGUACCUCAGUGGGGCCUCACUGCUGAGUUACACAAUCACUCUGCCUCUACAGAGAUUCCUCUUUCACCUGAGAAAUGUAUUUCUGCCUCAUCAGCACCUGUAAUGUGGUUCCCCUACCCCGGCCCUAGCCCCUAACUUGUAUUAUUGCCAACAAAAGGAUGAAAGGCCCUCCUUGUCCUUCUGUUUGUGGAGCACUUUCGGGAGCCCUUUGGGGCUGUGUCAUGAGGAAGCUCCCAUGGUCCCUGCUGUAUUUGGCAGUUCAAUUCAGCAUCCAUGCUCUGCAGCUGAUGUCGUGCCUUCAUGUGGAAGAAUUUCUGGAGAAAGUAUGGAGGAUUGACAUACUUUAACAGGGUUUCCCCCCGCAUAUUUUGGUGUCUGAAGAAGCUAGUAUCAGGAAAUACUGUGUCCUGACCAAUUCAUAUUUUUUUUUCCAUGUUAGUAUAAAUAAAUUGGAUAAACCAAACAAAAUGUCAUGUCAUGUUGGAAUGUUUACUUUCAGUUUCCUAGACGAUUUCCUAUGAGAAUAGCAAAGCCUGGAGUGUGUUCAGGAUGUUCUAUACAUAGAUAAUUUGCCCAGGAAUGCUGUAUUUUCACUUCUGUAAGAAUGGUAUUGUGGACAGAGGGAGAAAAGCAUGGGACUAAAAUGUAUGAAAAUUAGGCCAGGCAUUGUGGCUCGUGCCUGUAAUCCCAGCACUUUGGGACGCCGAGGUGGGUGGAUCACUUGAGGUCAGGAGUUCAAGACCAGUCUGGCCAACAUGGUGAAAACCUGUCUCUACUAAAAAUACAAAAAUUAGCCAGGUAUGGUGGUGGGCGCCUGUAAUCCCAGCUACUUGGGAGGAUGAGGCAGGAGAAUCGCUUGAACCUGGGAGGCGGAGGUUGCAGGGAGCUGAGAUCAUGCCACUGCACUCCAGGCUGGGAGACAAAGAGAGACUCUGUCU
rnacentral:sRNA from 1 species